AGUGAAAAUUUGGUAAAAGAAAUACUUUGAAUUCCACGUAUAACUGCACACCAUGUGUUAUUGUCUCUGUAUAACCUGCACACGUAGCAAAUGGUGGGCCGUGCAAAUGACUUCGUGGGCUGUGUCUAGGGAUAGCAAUUUGACCUGUUUGCCCGUUUACCUGUGGAUAAAAACCCUAAUAGAGUUGGGUUUGUUCUCUAUUUAGUACUCAUAGGUUUCUUAUUGGGUUAAAACUUGUAACAAACGGGCACACGGGCCCGCUUCGCCCAUUUACCCGCGAACAUCAACUGACAUGUGGCCCUCAAUCAACUUAGUAUAAAAACCAACAUCUAAAAACCCUAGAAUUUUCUUCUCUUCCCUUCAUAGCCGCCGCAUCUCCUUCUCUUCGACUUUUCUCCUCCACAGCCGCCAAGCUGACGCGGGAGGUCGCCGCCGGGAGGGGCUCUAGGCGGACAUGGGAGGGGCGCCACCGUGCCAUGGGAGGUCACCGCCGGGAGGGGUGCCAUAGGCACCACGGGAGGUCCGCGCGGGAGGUCAGGUCGCCGCUGGGAGGGGCGCCACGGGAGGUCGUCGCCGGCGGCUCCACCCUCUAGCCGUUGUCGCCUCGCCUCCUACCCGUCUGCGCGAGCUCCCCUCCGGCCGGUCAUCAACGUCUCCAACCGCGCCUCCCUCCAGUCGCGCCUCCCACCUCCGGUCGCCACUGCCUCCUCUGUGCCGAGCCGCCGAGCUCCCCUCCGGCCGGCAACGUCCUCCCCUGCGCUGAGCAAGUGAUUUGAACCAAUGGCUACUUCGGCCAGUAGCAGCCAGUGUGCUACUCCACCGGUCAGCAGCAACCGGCGUGAGCAAGCCUCACAGGCUUCUGUAGAUGCAUCCCCAACUGCAAAACAAGCUGAAUAGGAAGAAGAGGAAACUUGUGUAAUUGAAGUUUGUUGAUUGUGUAAUUGUGCUAAAGUAUGACAUUUGAAGUUGUCUUAUUGUUGAACUUAUAAUGUUUGUAUUGUUGACUGUCUCUGCA